rnacentral:rRNA from 1 species
AUGGGUGCUACCAAGCUGGUCGUGUCCGCUGCCCUCCUCGUCCUUCUAAGCAUAGGGCUGUCCAGCGCCAUUAGGGUAGUGAACCACGCCGCCACCGCCGAUGGUCAAGGCAGCGGGGGCGGAGGCGGCAGCGGGACUGGCACCAGCCAGGCCUCUGGCCACGGGUCCGGCCACGGGACGUCCGAGGCGUACGACAAGAACAGCUACGUCUACGGCUCCGGAGGAGGCCGCGGCGGCGGCAGCUGGGAAGGCAGAGAGGAGCCCGCGGCUGGUUACGGAACUGGCGGCGCAUCCGGCUCGGGCCACGGCGACUCGAGUAACACGGACACCGGCGGUUUGUCCACAAACGCGAAUGGCCAAGGCGGCGGUGCUGGUUCUGGAGGGAGCGCCGGGAAGGGCAGCGGCUCCGGCUCCGGCGACGGAAGCGGGUCAGGGAUAGCUGAUAGCUAUGGACCAGACGGUUCGAGCUACGCGAACAGCGGAGGGGGAGGAGGUGGCGACGCCGGCGGUAGCGACGAUGGGUUUGCCAGUGGUUCUGGAGGUGGAUCAGGGAACAGCAGCGGUGAAUCAACACCUUAA